AUUCAGCUGACGAGUCUCAAAUAGGACGAAUCAAACGUCAAACUGGAU
rfam:Schistosoma haematobium scaffold1570_19, whole genome shotgun sequence.